rnacentral:tRNA from 1 species
AAUGGAGUGCCUGAAAAAAGGAUUAUUUUGAUAGAAUAAAUUAUGUAAAACUUUUACCUUCAUUA